AUAUUUAACAUGUUUAUGUUAUCAAUAAUUGUAAUAAUGAAUACAACAGUUUUUCCUUAUGAAACAUGCACGUGUUUUCUAAGUGCCUCCAGUAUUAAAGGGGAAAAGCUCAUUAUGUAAAUAUAUGUUUAUGAGUAAAUAAGGCUUGUACUUUCUAAGGCAAUGCCAAACACCCGCUCCACCUCCACUGCGCAGCAAGCAGAGACAACGCUUGCCGACACACGGGAACAUGACGAGAGCGAGGCGUCCGGUGCUUCAUCGGGGAAGAAAGUCUUGGAAAAUCGUAAUACUGUGGCGAAUACUUCGGUGGUGGCAAACGUUUGGGCCUUCUCAAGACAGAACUGUCCUCUCCCCUCGGAUACAUGACAAACACCUCGCCUCCCCUCGCCCACCGGAGCUCCGCCCUCCUCUUCCGCGCCCCGUCAGAGCCAAGGGGCAGUGUUGGAGGUCAGUGUGCUGUCUGCGACGGGAAGGGAUAGACGUCUGCACCCACGCUCCUGUCACACGCGUGCACCACCACCCCUCGCGCGCACCGCUCAACCCUCGCGGCAGUUCACGCGGACGAAUAACGCGUUGAGACAGCUCGCCAUCACCGCUUAUGUGAUCAUUGCCAAGGCGAAUAAGCGCACCCCAUAGCGUUUCUCUGGGAUGCUGUGAUGGCCGGGAACUUCAAUUUGACGUAGUUUUCGAGUUCGCUGGUAGCAGAGCGACGCCGGUGCAGUGUGUAGGCCGCGUCUCCCGCUCACCCACGAGGAGGCUCCGGGGCGAGAAUGUCGGCCCCGCGUGUGAUGUUUUGAGUCGCUCAGAAAGAAUAAAGAGAGGAAUCUGCAAGUCAGGGCUCAAAGGUGCUGGCGGUGGGGCCGGCAGGAGAGGGACAACAUGCUGGCGCUGGCCUGUUGGCUCAUCGUCCUCCUCUGCGGGGAAGGCCGCCGUUCUCUCCCACCACCCUCACUGCAGCCAGCCAAUUGAACAUGCAGUGUUUUGACAGAGCCGCGGGGUGGGUUUGACGUUAUAUUUAAACUAUUGUUCUCGUCAUGAUCGAGUGGCCGCAAUUACACUACACCACCCCAACCGUACCUGUCUGCAACUAUUCCCUCUUUCCCUCCCCUCACUUCCCUUUUUUUCCCCAUUCCCCUUCCCACUAUCCGCAUCCUCCCCCCUCACACACACCUUCCACACACACACAUACACACACACACACAAACCACACCGCUUUCCUCCCUCUCUCUCCAAUUCCAUCGCCGCCUCCCUCCCCCUCAUAUGUAACUAUUGUGCCGUGUUGACUAUGGCCAAGUUAUAUAAUAUGCUCGCCGUUCAUGGCCUCACAAAUAGCUUGCGUCCUCAUUUAACUUUCCCGGGAACCCAUACGCAUGUUGCUCACACACGACUUCACCGUCUCGACACCUUUCACACAACUUCUUUCUUCCCUUCGCUACAUCGUAUUUCAUUUUUUGGGAUUCGUAUUAAUAGGACACACCUUUACUCUCCGAUAUAUAUCCUGUCGCACCUCACACGCCACCCCUCCACACACUGCCUUCCUUCCUUCUUUCCUUCCCUGCCACAUAACACUACAGUAAACAAGACAUCUCCUUUUCCAGUCACCCACAUAGAAGUUCUCAACCCACUUAUGCUCUCUCCGCCACAGCAUAUGACACCACACCAUACACGCCACCGUUCAACAGAAAGCCUUCCUUCCUUCUUUCCCUGCCACACAAGCCCACAGUACAAACGCCGCCUCCUUUUCCAGCUACCCACAUCAUUCCACGGACAUUCUCAACCCUCGCUUGCUUUCUCUGCCACAGCGAUCAAUCUUUUUUUAUUCCUUUACCUUGCCAUACACACAGUCUUCCAAACGUCGCCUCUGCCUUACCCUGCCACACCCUCCAUCGACGCCGCCUCUUUUCCCCCUACCCUGUCAUCCCUUGAUCGCGGCGCCUCAGCCCUGGUAUCCAUCUUCAUCCUUCCAUUAUCACUGCUAACUUUCCUUCCACCUCACUCCUCCCAUCUCCCUCGAGCCAUCACCCAUAAACAUCCCAUUUAGUCUCCUUCCUAAGUCUCCUCCUCUCCCCUCCUCUCUUUCUUCCUUCUCUUCCCUUUCCCUAAUGCCAGGCCAUCUUUCCUCCCCUCUUCUCUUCCGUUUCACACCUCGCUUACGAUCCCAUCACUUAUCCCCUCAUCAUUUCCUCCCUAUAUUCUUCUUUCAUGCACUCUCUUUCUCUCUCUAUAUAUAUCUCCUCUAUUUCUCCUUUACUCUCACCUCACUUCCUUUGCUCCUCUCGUCUCGCUGCACAUCCUUCACGCUUUUUUCAUUUUAUAUUUUCUCUCCCUCGUUUCCUUUUGUUCUUUCUUUGGCUGUAAAUGUUAAUCCCAUCAUCAAAG